rnacentral:rRNA from 1 species
AUUGAACGCUGGCGGCAGGCUUAACACAUGCAAGUCGAGCGAGCGGCGGACGGGUGAGUAAUGUCUGGGAAACUGCCUGAUGGAGGGGGAUAACUACUGGAAAAGGUAGCUAAUACCGUAUACCAUCAGAGGUGCCCAGAUGGGAUUAGCUAGUAGGUGGGGUAAUGGCUCACCUAGGCGACGACCCCUAGCUGGUCUGAGAGGAUGACCAGCCACACUGGACCUGGGACACGGUCCAGACUCCUACGGGAGGCAGCAGGGGGGAAUAUUGCACAAGGGGCGCAAGCCGGAUGCAGCCAUGCCUCGUGUGUGAAGAAGGCCUUCGGGUUGUAAAGCACUUUCAGCGAGGAGGCGUUACUCGCAGAAGAAGCACCGGCUAACUCCGUGCCAGCAGCCGCGGUAAUAC